AACAAACAAACAAAUCUUAAAAAAAAAAAAAACAGAAGACACGAAACAGCCCUGCUGACCCUGACUUUGGGCUGAAUACCUUGAAACUGAGAAGAUAGAUGUUUAAGCCCUUAGCCUGCAGUUCUUUGCUGUACCUGAAGACCCUGUUCACAGUCAGCUUCACAGUGUUGUGGGCUCAGGAAAUGCUCCAACCACUACAGGCUGAGAGAAUCCAGAAGAUCCAGAAUCAAGUCUUUUACCGUCCAGAGUAUCCAUUAAGCACUAACACAUAUGGCCUCAUGAGAGACAAGAAAUAGAUUGUUUCCACAGCAGUGAUGAUUGCUUGCCAGUUUCCAAGAACUGAACAGCUUCUUGACCACAUGUUCCUGAUGCAAAAAUCUACCUCAGUCUUAGCUCAGAAGUGAUUGCACUAAACAGAGGCUUAAAACUUUGAAACUUUGAACCAAGGUAAGUUUUAACUUUCUUGAGCUCAUUUUCUCAACAUGUUUUCUCACUGAAAAAGUAAUUUGGUUUCUCAUUAUUCAUCUCCAACAAACAAAAUCGCAUGGCAUGAGAGCUCAUACCCUUAACUCCCAAUCUGGAGGUAGAGAUGGGUGGUUCUUCAUGAGUUCAAGAAAAUUUUUACCUACUUCUUAAGUUCCAGUAUAGCCAAGGCUGUAUAGUGAGAUCUUGUCUCAGAACACAAAACCAAAAUCAUAAAACGAAUCAAAACCAAGGAGUAUGCCUUUAAUGUUACUGACUCAAAGAAAUGUUAAGGAAAUAAAAUAAUGUAAUAAUUUAAGAAUAAAAGUUCAUUAAUUAUUGGUUU